UACGUAGGGGGCAAGCGUUGUCCGGAGUUACUGGGCGUAAAGCGCACGCAGGCGGUCUGCUAAGUUUGGAGUGACAGUUGGUGGCUCAACUACCAAAGUGCUUUGAAAACUGACAGACUUGAGGGCUUCAGAGGGACACGGAAUUCCGGGUGGAGUGGUGAAAUGCGUAGAGAUCCGGAAGAACACCAGUGGCGAAGGCGGCCUGCUGGGCAGUGGCUGACGCUGAGGCGCGACAGCGUGGGGAGCAACAGG
rnacentral:rRNA from 1 species